rnacentral:rRNA from 1 species
UACGUAGGGGGCGAGCGUUGUCCGGAUUUAUUGGGCGUAAAAGGCUUGUAGGUGGCCACGUGAAGUCGGAUGUGAAAUCUCCCGGCUCAACUGGGAGGGGUCAUUCGAUACUGGCGGGCUCGAGGCCGGUAGGGGGAAGCGGAAUUCCCGGUGUAGUGGUGGAAUGCGUAGAUAUCGGGAGGAACACCAGUGGCGAAGGCGGCUUCCUGGACCGGUUCUGACACUGAGGAGCGAAAGCGUGGGGAGCGAUCCGG